rnacentral:lncRNA from 1 species
GAUCGUGUCUCGAGGGAGCUGGAGAAAACAGCUCAGUACCAGGCACGCCUGGCCAAGAGGGCAAAGAAACUAAGCGCAUACGGGCCGUCACCGAGGAUGACGGCUCAAAAACACAUCCACGCCUUCCUACAAGGAAAAAGUACAGAUGGGUCUGGUCAAGAGCAAAGGUCCUGUAAAAAAAUUCAAGUCGAAGAGUCGAUACAGGAGAAAAUAAUUAUGAAACUACAGAACUGGUCUGCAUUUGGAGCAAUUGCGAAUUGUGAAUAGACUCCUGCGAGAAAAUGUGUGGUGCAGAGUCAAUAAAAUACCUAGAUGGCUUCACACAAACACAA